GCUUACGGCCACACCGCCUGGUUCACGCUUGAUCUCGGAAGCUAAGAUAGGUUGGGGCCUGGUUAGUACUUGGAUGGGAGACCGCCUGGGAAUACCCAGGUGCUGUAAGCU
rnacentral:rRNA from 1 species